GCACUGGCUGCCACUGCCUAAGCGACAGUAUAAUUCGGCUGGCCUCAGCCGUCAGGGUAGGGGCUGGAAGAGAGCUCGGCCAGGGCUCCUGAGCUGGAAUGAAGCUCCUUCUCUGAUGGAAGGGGGUUUCCGAGGCUGGGCGAGGCUGGAAGCCUCAACUGUCUGCUGGGUCUACAAAUCCAGUGGUUACAAUGGGGACUCCUCUUCGCCCUCCAGGACGAUCCUCGCUGCAAGCCCAGGUUCCUUCGCUAUAGGAGUCCCAUCCCACCAGCCCAGUCCCCAAAUGCUGGUAGAUCCUUGCAAGUCAAUAGCAACAAGUCACUGUACCCCUGAUGUGUCUGCCACAAGAAAGCUGGUGUUCAGAGGCCCAGCACGCAGCCAAGGCCUCUGACACCACACAUACCAUUACUAUUUGAUUCCUCAUAAGGCCUUCCAGAUGCUUAAAAAGGCUCAGGACCAUUCUGAACAUCAGUCAACAAACAAAUGGGGUCUUGGGUGGGGAAGCCCUUUGUGACCUGCAAAGCCCCACGUGAAUGUAAGUGAGUUUUGCACUGUAUUGCAAAAAGAACAUUCUGAUUCUCCAACAGUUGUGGUUAUUUGGAUUUUGGCAAACAGGA
rnacentral:lncRNA from 12 species